GAUGAACGCUAGCGGCAGGCCUAACACAUGCAAGUCGAGGGGCAUCGCGGUGCAGCAAUGCACUGGCGGCGACCGGCGUACGGGUGCGUAACGCGUAUGCAACCUGCCCCGCACCGGGGGAUAGCCCGCCGAAAGGCGGAUUAAUACCCCAUGGUCCCGGGGGCCCGCAUGGGCAUCCGGGUAAAGCCUUGGCGGUGCGGGAUGGGCAUGCGUGCCAUUAGCUGGCUGGUGGGGUAACGGCCCACCAGGGCAACGAUGGCUAGGGGGUCUGAGAGGAUGGUCCCCCACACUGGUACUGAGACACGGACCAGACUCCUACGGGAGGCAGCAGUGAGGAAUAUUGGUCAAUGGGCGGAAGCCUGAACCAGUCAUGCCGCGUGCGGGAUGAAGGCCCUACGGGUUGUAAACCGCUUUUCCCCGGGAAGAAUAACCCCGAUGAGUCGGGGAUGCCGGUACCGGGGAAUAAGGAUCGGCUAACUCCGUG
rnacentral:rRNA from 1 species